rnacentral:tRNA from 24 species
CACUAAGAAGCUAAAACGGACACAGCGUUAGCCUUUUAAGCUAAAAAUGGUGCCUACCAAACACCCUUAGUGA